UUGAUGUUUAGUGGCACCAAUGGUAGCAAAUGCAGGCAACUGUAUCUGUUGCUUUUCAGGCCUAGCGUACAAGUCCCACUGACUUGGGCUUAUUCUUACAAUUGAGAUGUCUACGGGCUUGGGGCAACCUGGGUUCGUGGAUGAGCCAUAGAGGGUGAAAGUCCCUUAAUGCGCGGGUAUUGGUGUCACGAAUCAGAGCAGUGGCGUUUGUGCGUGUGUGGCAACACAUACGUUGCGAGCGUCACGGUUUGUCAGAGUCGGGUUGCUUGAGAGUGCAACCUAAAGAGCGAGGUAAACUGCUCGUAAGGCUACGAUUUAAAUACGGCUACGACACCGAUAGCAAACAAGUACCGUGAGGGAAAGUUGCAAAGUACUUUGAAGAGAGAGUUAAACAGGGCGUGAAACCGCUAGCUGGAAAACGAGUGGAGCCACGAAGUCGUUUCGUAGAUCACGGAUUGCAAACUCAGCCAAGGUGCCGUGAAAAAGCGUCUUGGUGUAUUUUUGUGUUAAAUUCCGCUACUGUAAGCGUACACUGCAACCAAUUAGACGGACAAGCGUGGAAAUAGUUUGCAUGUUUUAUGGGGCAACCUGUAGCGUGUGAGCGAAAGAAUUUGUGCACUUAUGUGUAGGUAGCCGCGGGUUUCGUUGUGGUGUGUUUCGGCACACUACAACACCGUGGUGCAUAUGACAUUAUUCGUAAGUGCGUGAACUACGCUUGUGUACUGAUUGGCACAAUGAAAAUCGAGCCACUUGUGUGCUCGUUAC
rnacentral:rRNA from 1 species